AGAACCGGAAACUUUGAGAGACCGGGAGAAGUUAUGAGAUCGUUCGGUUUAAUCGUUGAUGUUCUUAGGAGACAGAACAAGGUGACUCGAUCCGCUCGCUGUUCAUUCAUAGUCCGCUUCCCUUCCAUUUAACUGGUUUAUGGAUCAGCCUGUAGACGGCAUGGUAGCGAACUCGAGGAUAUCGCGAUGACCGCGUUUCACGUUGUAAUAUCCGAGUGGUAACAAAGCGAAGACACAGAGGCUGUUGUUAGUACACGGUGCAGCGGACGGAACAUUAACAGGAAGUGGUUGGCCACUAGCCAGCCACUAUUUCCUUGGAAUAUUGAUCCGGUAAUGCCCCGUGCAUCGAUUAACACGCUCGAUGAGGCAGCUUUUUCUAUUCGCGCGAUACGAGACAAAUAUGUCCGGUGGAGUAUCUAAAGAUGGAAACCAUCCAACGACGAUCGCCCUCCGAAGAAACUACCGAGCGGUUCGGGUUCAGGCAAGGCUAGUUUGCAUUAUUCGGGGCGAUAAAUGCCACCCGCGUGUCGUUGGACAUGGCACUCGUGUCGUUUACACGACAAACGCAAACACAG